ACAGCAUUCCCAUUUCAACCCUCUUUUGUUCUCAACUACAUAUAUACGAUGGCUGCUUCUUCUUCAGUUCGUUUGUUUGCAACUGUCUCACUCUUGGUGAUGCUCUUCAUGGCCUCUGGGAUGGGAAUAAUGGCCGCGGGUCCGAGAAUGUGCUCGUCGCGGAGCCAAACGUUCAAAGGGGUAUGUAUUUUUGCCAACGGCAACUGCAAUACAGUUUGCAAGUCUGAGGGGUUUUCCAAUGGGAGCUGCACCGGUUCCUACAACCCCAUCUGCACCUGCAACAAGCCUUGCUGCUAAUAACCAACAUUGCUUGCUUCAACUUCAAUUCCAUCACUGUUAUAUAUAUAUAUAUCUAAAUAAAUAAAUGUCCCCCCCAAAUAAUAUAAUCCAAACAUGCAUGCAUGUUGUUUGGAUUUGGUUGUUAUUACAUAUAUAUAUGUGUCAACAUGUUGUGUGUUUCGUUUUCUUGUCUCAAGUUAUGCAAUUUCUGUGUUUUCGU